GAUGAACAGGACUGACACAGAAAGGAAAGCUACAGAUCUUCAAGGCGAUGAUAGAUUGAUCAAGGAUGUUCCUGCUACAGCUCAACAAAUGUUAGAAGAGGUUCUAGCAUUAGACAGACAGUUGCACAAGGAGACUCUGGCAGCA